GGUUGGUGAGGUAACGGCCCACCAUGGCGACGAUCGGUAACCGGACUGACAGGUUGAACGGCCACCUUGGGACUGAGACACGGCCCUUACUCCUACGGGA
rnacentral:rRNA from 1 species